GUGAAUAUCUAUCUUUCCUUCAUUUCGAAGCUAAGCUCUCCUCCUCUAUAAAUAACACUCCUCUCCUAGCUUAGAAAUCAUAUAAGAUCGUGAGAAGAACCAGAGCGAGCAUUAGUGAGCAUGGCUUGACACAAAGGGUAAGAGCAUGAUAUUAUAUCUGGAUUGGGCAGGGGUCGAAUAUGAGGAAUUUCAUCACACGUAGGCACCCUCCCAUGCGCUUGUCACAUGUGAUCCUGAUGAACUUCCCUCCAUAUGAUAUGGGGUCAUUGCUGCCAUCACCGUGCUUCCCUUCCUCGCUGCCGGAAAACUCUCAUCCGCAAUUCUGCAUCCUCGUCUCUUCAAAUGCUCGCUUCCCUCUGAUUUCUGAAACAUCUGGUGUUUGAAUGCAUAGUUUAGGUGUUGUCUGAUGAGGUGCUUAACUUAACAACCUAGGACAUUUUCAUUAAUAUUGAAAACUAUCAUAUUCCAGGUGCUAUUAUUCCUUCACUAGUAAAAUAAUUUGAAUUAUCUGUUUUUUUUGUAAUUGUUG